ensembl:lncRNA
GAACCCUUCCUCUAUUCUUCAUGUUGCACAGACGCGGCACUACUGUGCCAUUAAUGUCACGGUACCGGUGCUGCAACGGUACUAUGGAGGGGAGGACACCCGCCCGGACUUCAGGCUGGGCACAGACGCCAUGCAGCACCUGAUGGUGGUCCUGAAGACUGACAGGCAGCACGGGUGGGGGCCGACCCUGGAGACACUCGUGUUCCUGUUCUGGCUGGCCACCGGUUCAGCCUACCGAGUUGUCUCCAGGGUCUUCUGUAUGCCUCUACCUACGGUGCACAGGGUGGUCCACAGGAUGGUGGAUGAGGUCGUAGCUGUGCUCCCUCAGUUCGUCAACUUCCCCCGCACACAGGAGGAGCUCCAGGUGGUCAACUUCCCCUGCACACAGGAGGAGCUCCAGGUGGUCAACUUCCCCUGCACACAGGAGGAGCUCCAGGUGGUCAACUUCCCCUGCACACAGGAGGAGCUCCAGGUGGUCAACUUCCCCUGCACACAGGAGGAGCUCCAGGUGGUCGGGGAUGGCUUUGCCCGGCUGGCUCAUCACCGGGCAUUUGAGAAGGCAGCAGGGGCAGUGGAUGGUUGCCACAUCCGUAUUAAAUGUCCUGGCGGCCCUGAUGGUCACGACUACAACAACAGGAAACUCUUCCCCUCUGUGGUGCUCCAGGCAGUCUGUGACCAUCAUUGUGGGUUACCCAGGUGGUGACGGCGUGUGUAAUUUUACACAACAUUUGUGUUGGUGUUGGGGAUGAGCUGGAAGAGGCUGUGGAGGACAAUGACAACCAGCUACCUCUGGAGCGCGAUGGUGGGGAGAGCCGGAGUGGAGCUGCUUGGCGAGCCGCGCUGACCAACGAGGUGUCUGCAUUUCAUGAGGCACCUCUGGAUCUCGAAUAUUUUUCCCAGGCUCUGGUUUGUGACUCAGAUGCUGAGGGAAACACACAGACUCGGGGAGGCAGUUGAAGUGUUUAUUCACACAACCGGAAUCAAACAGAGGGAUUGUUCAGGGUUGAGUGGUUCCAGGAGGCGAGCGGCGAGGAGAGUUGAAUGGCGAAGUGAGCAGGCAGCAGGCGAGCAGGCAGCAAUUGAAGCUGUGUGGCAAGGUGAGCAGGCAGCAGGUGAACAGGCAGCAAUGUCAGAGCGGAAUCUGGACAGAGAAGAUGCUGUUUAACAAGGGCACACUGAAAUUGUCUAGAACGCAUAGGGACUAGGAUGUCUGAGGGUUUGCAGAACCAAGUUACCACAGGUAAUGUUGUAACGGAGUGGCGCUGAAGAGGUGAACAGCCCAGGUUGAUAUCUGCUGGUU